rnacentral:rRNA from 1 species
UACGUAGGUGGCAAGCGUUGUCCGGAUUUACUGGGCGUAAAGAGCGCGCAGGCGGUCGUUCAAGUCGCGUGUGAAAGCCCCCGGCUCAACUGGGGAGGGUCACGCGAUACUGAUCGACUGGAAGGCAGGAGAGGGUAGUGGAAUUCCCGGUGUAGUGGUGAAAUGCGUAGAUAUCGAGAGGAACACCUGCGGCGAAGGCGGGUUGCUGGGCUGACACUGACGCUGAGACGCGAAAGCGUGGGGAGCAAACAGG